GAUGAACGCUGGCGGCGUGCCUAAUACAUGCAAGUCGAGCGAAUGGAUUGAGAGCUUGCUCUUAUGAAGUUAGCGGCGGACGGGUGAGUAACACGUGGGUAACCUGCCCAUAAGACUGGGAUAACUCCGGGAAACCGGGGCUAAUACCGGAUAACAUUUUGAACCGCAUGGUUCGAAAUUGAAGGGCGGCUUCGGCUGUCACUGAUGGAUGGACCCGCGUCGCAUUAGCUAGUUGGUGAGGUAGCGGCUCACCAAGGCAACGAUGCGUAGCCGACCUGAGAGGGUGAUCGGCCACACUGGGACUGAGACACGGCCCAGACUCCUACGGGAGGCAGCAGUAGGGAAUCUUCCGCAAUGGACGAAAGUCUGACGGAGCAACGCCGCGUGAGUGAUGAAGGCUUUCGGGUCGUAAAACUCUGUUGUUAGGGAAGAACAAGUGCUAGUUGAAUAAGCUGACACCUUGACGGUACCUAACCAGAAAGCCACGGCUAACUACGUGCCAGCCGCCGCCGUAA
rnacentral:rRNA from 1 species